rnacentral:misc_RNA from 1 species
AAGUCGUAACAAGGUCUCCGUUGGUGAACCAGCGGAGGGAUCAUUACAGAGUUAUCUAACUCCCAAACCCAUGUGAACUUACCACUGUUGCCUCGGCAGAUGUUGCUGGGCGAACCUACCCUGUAGCGAGCUACUCUGUAGCGACCCUCGACCCGGGAACGGCCUUACCCGCUGUCAGUGCGCCUGCCUGGAUGGAUCUUACUUUAAAACUCUUGUUAAUUUUUCAAGUAAUCUGAAGCGUCUUUAUUUUAAUAAGUCAAAA